GUCUACGGCCAUACCACCCUGAAGGCGCCCGAUCUCGUCUGAUCUUGGAAGCUAAGCAGGGUUGGGCCUGGUUAGUACUUGGAUGGGAGAGACCCAGGCCAGAGGAGAGC
ensembl:rRNA 5S_rRNA 5S ribosomal RNA